CGGACGGGUGAGUAAUGUCUGGGAAACUGCCUGAUGGAGGGGGAUAACUACUGGAAACGGUAGCUAAUACCGCAUAAUGUCGCAAGACCAAAGAGGGGGACCUUCGGGCCUCUUGCCAUCGGAUGUGCCCAGAUGGGAUUAGCUAGUAGGUGGGGUAACGGCUCACCUAGGCGACGAUCCCUAGCUGGUCUGAGAGGAUGACCAGCCACACUGGGACUGAGACACGGCCCAG
rnacentral:rRNA from 1 species